rnacentral:rRNA from 1 species
GAUGAACGCUAGCGACAGGCCUAACACAUGCAAGUCGAGGGGCAGCACGGAAAUAGCAAUAUGACUGGUGGCGACCGGCGCACGGGUGAGUAACACGUAUGCAACCUACCUGUAAGCGGGGAAUAACCCGGAGAAAUUCGGACUAAUACCGCAUAAUACUGCGAUACUGCAUGGUAUUGCAUUUAAACAUUUAUGGCUUACAGAUGGGCAUGCGUAUGAUUAGAUAGUUGGUGAGGUAACGGCUCACCAAGUCAACGAUCAUUAGGGGUUCUGAGAGGAAGGUCCCCCACACUGGUACUGAGACACGGACCAGGACUUCCUACGGGAGGCAGCAGUGAGGAAUAUUGGUCAAUGGGCGAGAGCCUGAACCAGCCAAGUCGCGUGAAGGAGAAGGUUCUAUGGAUUGUAAACUUCUUUUGUAAGGGAUAAAAAGUGGUACGUGUACCAUAUUGUAUGUACUUUACG